rnacentral:rRNA from 1 species
UACGUAGGGGGCAAGCGUUGUCCGGAAUUAUUGGGCGUAAAGCGCGUGUAGGCGGCCAGAAAAGUCCGCUGUGAAAACUCGGGGCUCAACUUCGAGCUGUCGGUGGAAACUUUCUGGCUAGAGUCCGGAAGAGGAGAAUGGAAUUCCUGGUGUAGCGGUGAAAUGCGCAGAUAUCAGGAAGAACACCCGUGGCGAAGGCGGUUCUCUGGGACGGUACUGACGCUGAGACGCGAAAGCGUGGGGAGCGAACAGG